CGAGUUUACAACUCCCAAACCCCUGUGAACAUACCUUAAUGUUGCCUCGGCGGAUCAGCCCGCGCCCCGUAAAACGGGACGGCCCGCCAGAGGACCCAAACUCUAAUGUUUCUUAUUGUAACUUCUGAGUAAAACAAACAAAUAAAUCAAAACUUUCAACAACGGAUCUCUUGGUUCUGGCAUCGAUGAAGAACGCAGCAAAAUGCGAUAAGUAAUGUGAAUUGCAGAAUUCAGUGAAUCAUCGAAUCUUUGAACGCACAUUGCGCCCGCUGGUAUUCCGGCGGGCAUGCCUGUUCGAGCGUCAUUUCAACCCUCAAGCCCCCGGGUUUGGUGUUGGGGAUCGGCUCUGCCCUUCUGGGCGGUGCCGCCCCCGAAAUACAUUGGCGGUCUCGCUGCAGCCUCCAUUGCGUAGUAGCUAACACCUCGCAACUGGAACGCGGCGCGGCCAUGCCGUAAAACCCCAACUUCUGAAUGUUGACCUCGGAUCAGGUAGGAAUACCCGCUGAACUUAAGCAUAUCA
rnacentral:rRNA from 1 species